rnacentral:rRNA from 1 species
UUGAAAGGGAAACGAUUGAAGUAGUGUANGAGAGAAAUAGUUUUGAAUGUGAUUUGUGGGGUAUGAGAUUUAUUGUUUGAAUAUGUAUGUUUUUUGGUGUAUUUUUGUAUGGUAGGUAAGUGGUUUUGGUGCAUAAAAUGAUGGAGGAAUGUAGUUGGUUGGUUGAAGUGUUAUAGUUUUGGUAAAUGUGGUGAUUAGGAUGAGGAUUGAAGAAUACUUUUAGGUAUUGUUGAGUUGAAAGUUAUUAGGUGUGAAAGUUGUUAAGGGUAUUUAAGUUGAGGUAAUAGGUUAGAGGGUGAUUNAUCGUUAAGGAUGUUGACGUA